CCCUAAGUCCAGCUCUGCCUCACACCAAUAUUGUGCUCCAUUAUCUGAUAUUUUAGGAGCAAUCAGGAGGUCACUGGUAACAGUCUGUGGUCCCACAUUGUUGCUUUGGUGUCUGUUAUCUGUUGUCAAAAGUGUGUCUCCUUUGAACCACUUCACGGUCAGGUGCUGGACUGUGCUGUUUUCAAUGUGGCCAAAAAGUCUGUAGCCCUUGCCUUCAGCCAUUGCUCUAGUAGUAUUAUCUGUUAUAGUGAUUACAUCUGGAAAAG